AAUGAGCUCCGAAUGCUGAGAGACGCAGGACAUGGAGGCCAGGCUCUCAAAGUUUCAGAGGGAGGUAAAGACUUCAUCAGGGCUGUUGGUGUGGUGUUUGGGGUUGAGAAUGCGUGGAAGUGAAACCUUUCCUUACUGGGACAAUCAGUGUUUAUUAGCUGGAGCUGAAGAAUCAGCUGUGGUUUGAUAAGAGAUCCGCAUCAUUGAGGUCAAAAUCUGGGAAGAAAGCAUGUCCUUAGGGUCAGCACACGGAGCUGUGGUCCAGAGCAUCACAGGCUGACAGUCAGUCUUGGUAUUGUUUGGACUCUCCCACGGGGCAGUGGUUGGGGCAGCCCCGAAGGAAGCUGGAGGGCUGAAGGGGUCGUGGAGAGAGGCUGAGGCUGGGCACCAUGUGGCAGGAUCGCAGUCCCUGAAGGGAGGCAAGAAAUCCGUGGGUGAAGACGCACCCUCGGUGGCAGGGGAAAUCCCAGCAUGCUGGAGAUGCCAGGACUGUGCCGUGGACCAAGGACAGGAGCAGGUAUGGAGAGGGGCGUUCUUAGCCCAGGAGACAAGCUGUGUGUGUUUCCUAUUCUUUAUUGUGCAGUUGGGUGUGUAGAAUAUUACCUUGAUUAAGAACCGACAUGCCUGACGGUCAGUUGCUGGCAGUGAUGAAUCCUUUUCGUGGCUGCAGCUGUGGUCAAGCCUUCCCCACGUGGCUCUUCUCUCUUACCUCCUCCUUCCCUUGUGCCUCUCACUUUGUGGUAUCUUUCUCCUGCGUACAUGUUCCUCGGGCCUAUCGUCCAGUUUAUCGAGUCUUUCUUCAGUAGUUCCUAACCUGGAUUUUACCGUGUGCAGAGUUUCGGUGGCCGUAUUACAUCUACCUUAUUCCUUUUGAAAUCUUACUGUUCCGAUAGAGCAUUUUGUGGCUUUCUUAUUGAAUGGAAAAAGGAAUUAAAAAGGAAGGACAUGACUGCUCCUUGGUAUGGUGGAGGAGAAAGUUUAUUGCAGACAAAAGGGAGAGGGGAUAGCCAGAGGCAGGGAUGUCUGGGAGAUUCCAGAGUGGACGUGACCCUGAGCCGUGUGAGGAGAGGAGGCAGGGGAGAGGGAACCAGGCGCAGCAGCCCCGGGGGCGAAAGGUAAAAAGCGGUGGGUAACCGAAAUGUCCAGAGUAGAUAGGGAAGAGCCUCUGGGGGAAGGGCAGCCCAGGAUCUGGGCUGGAGAUUUGGGGGGCAGGGUAGAGGGUGGGGUAUGCAGGCCAUACCCUGUAACAGGUAGAGAGUGAGGGAUGCUGGGAGAACCUGGCAGCCAGGUCCACUCGGGUAUGUCAAAUAGGCACCUCAGCCAUUUGUCCCAGAGCUUGAGAUGUAACACUUCAACUAUUUUUUUCAACUCAUUCAUUGUUUACUUUCAUUAAUUAAUUGUUUUCAACUAAUGUGUUUUUUUUUUUUUUUUCUGAUCACUUGGCCGAUCAUAGUUUAGGCGCUCUAUAGUUUUUCCGUUUUUGAUUUUCCUCUUCGCUGUACAGGCUGCUUAUCCCACCCAGCACCUUGUUUCCAGUCUUGGUUAUAUUUUAAAAUUAUAAGUACUUUUUACCCUACCAUUAAAUGUGAGAAUUCUGUGCGUUUUCUCUAUAAAAAACCAAAACCAAAACCAAAACCAAAAGAAACCCUUUACUUCUGUCCAUCAGGUCCUUAGGGUGUCACCCGCCAGAAUCUUAAUUUCAAUCCUAAUUAACUCUUAAUGUCUCAACUCCAGGUCAGGGCAAGCUGUAGUUGUGAAUUUGAAAAGAAGCUCUGCAUUCCUGUGCUGAGAUGGGCGGUGUGUGUGUGUGUGUGUGUGUGUGUGUGCACCUUGACACAGAGUCCAGGUUCUUGGUGUCUAAAACAACAGAUUGGACAAGACACAGUGACCAUAUUCAAGUAUCUAGUUACUAAAAGUCUGAGUUUAGCAUAGAAUACACUGUGCAGAAUUGGAAGUUGGCCUGGGUAAGCAUGUAGCUCAAGAGCUUUGGUUCUUUGUAGGGUUUUGUGUUUUGUUUUGCUUCUUAAUGAAUUUCGGUGGAGGGAGGAACUGAUCUGAAGGGUCAGCAAUGGGGCUGAUCCUAACCUGAUCGACAGAUGAGCUGUGAUAUAACUUCGGACAAUCUGUUCACGCAUUGGGCGUAGAUCCAUAAUUUUAAGCAUAUGUAGGACCCAUCCAUGCAUAUGUCAUGAGAUGUUAAAUAGGAAUUUUCCCCUGACAGGUCACUUCAAGGACAGUCACACUCACAGAGCUUGUGCCCAGUACCGGUUUAAGUUGGCUUUGUUUAACUCUCUUACCAGGAAUUGCCUGACCCCAAAUUACCCACGGGAGGGGCCCCACUGGGUGUGCCAUACAGGGAAGGAGCAGACGUGGGUUUCCGAGGGGAGCAGUGUGGAGCUGGGCUGUUUUAGCAGCCUGUCUCAGAUCAGUGCUAAAUUUUUAUGUUUUCAUACAGUCCGCUUCCCCAGCUUGCCACAUCUUGUCUUCAGCUCUGUUGGCCAAAGCUCCAGUUUGUUUAGAGGGCUCCCCCUCACCAGGGGCUGCCCCAGGACAGUUCCCAGGCUCACUAUUAUUACUAUAGACCUAGCUAUCGGCCGGAUCGUUCUGCUUGUUACACUUCAGGUCAAGGUCCUCUAUAGGUCAUUACCCCUCAUUCUUUUUCAAGACAGCGUGGCCUUCAGCUAGCUCCCAGGAAGAGCUGUCCUAUGUUCUACCAUAAACUAGAGAGACACCCGAAGCCUGGAGCCCCCCCUUCUAACAGCAAGCGAUGAGAACUCCAAAAGGUGCAGAAGAAGUCAGGCUAAGGAGGACUUGUGUGUUUGGGGCAAGGGAUCGUUGAGUUUAAGGAUUCCUGUAACAGUUUUUGACUGACAACACCCCUAAGCUCAUUGCUGUUGGGUCGGCUCUACCUGGAAGCCCCCUACCGACAGGAAGCAAUGACAGACCCAAUCGGCUUGUCCACCGACUGGCCGUGGUGGCACAUCCAGGACCACUUUCUGUACCACGGAAGGACUACAUUCACAUCUGCCCGUCUCUUCAGGAUUUAACCACGGCAUCGGCGCCGAGAACAAACCCACCAAUCUCAUCCUUUGAACUUAGCGUGACUGUUGUUCUAAAACCGAGUGUAGGAUAGUGUGAGAAAAAGGCCAGUCCUUUAUUUCUCACAAGUACAAAUAAAAUACUGGGUCACCAGAGUCUGUGGUGGACACAGCCACGAAACAAAAGAACAGCAACAAAUCCGACAUCACGUUCGAGUUAUUUUAGAAACCACAGCUUGUUGAAGGACAGACAGCCUCCUGAAUAAUAACAUCAUGGUCUGAGGAGGUGGCUUGGCGGUAGGGGACUUGCCUCGGAUUACUAAGGCUCUGCGUUUGAUUCCGGCACCACAAAUAAAUCAAUGAAAGGAAAUUUAAAACUUAUAUAAUGGGAAAAAAAUUAACAAAUGAAGUAUGAGAAUGUUACUAAAUUUGCCACCGUGUUAUGAUUCAAAAUUCUCAAAAUCCCCCAAAUUUAGAAGCUGCAAGAAUUUUUCAAAAAACUGAUAAAAUGUACAUGAACCAUCUGGACCUACAUCUUACACAGUGGAGGGGAAAAUGGCGUUAAGAUCUGGAGUAAGAAAAUGUUGCUCACUCUCAUCCUAUCCUGAUAAGGUAACAUUUGGGGUUCUGAGGAAAAGGCAUUAGGCAAUUCCAGAAAAAAAAAAAAAAGAACGUUAAAGGCAAAAGUUAGACAGGAGAAGCACGCUGCUAAAGACCUCUGAGGUGGAACGGCUUUGUAUACACGGCGCUAGAGGCGGAGUCUUUAGCGAUGAUGACAGCAAUCAUUUCCCUAGAAGGUUACAUGGCCAGAGAGCGUGGUCAGGAUAAUGCUGAGGACCAAGUCACCUGCACCCAGCACCCACGCCCGGGAGCCGCAGAACCAUAGGCCAGCAGCGAUGCUCAUGUUUGCCAGCAGGUGGCGCUCGGCCUCCAUGGCGCGACCGGCCGCAGUUCCAAGUCCCCCUCCAAAGGUUCCACUUUGCCAGGACUGCCGCGGGUUAGGAGUCAUUCAAGGGUUGCAAGCCGGCGUUGGUUGUCCAGAGACCCCACAGGCGCUCCGAAGGGCCCUGUCGUUCAGAUAGCACGAUUGCACUUCAGGGUCCAGAUCCGCACUGCCACCCGAGCAGAGGAUGAGAAGCGGCCGUCACCAGGCUGGGGAUAGGGGUGGGGCAGCAACUUGUUCUCGUACUUCCCUCCCGCUUUUGGGGAGGGUGGGGGGACGCACUGCAUGCUGGGUUGGUUGGCCGGGUGUGCAUACAGGGGCUAUAGUAGGCAACAGGUGACUAGUGUUUUGGGCGGCUGCCUUGGCCCCUCGGGGCAGCCUCCAACCCAGGUGUAAGGGCCAAAGCAGGCAUCCCCUGGUGUGAUCAUUAAGGACGAACCCCACCCCGCAGCAGGAAAGAGGCGGGGGCCACCGGAACCGAAGCUGCCCCCCCCUCCACUCACCAUGAUGGAUUUGGUGUCAGGGGCCAGGAAACACCUCAGCCAAGGCAGACUAGCAGGCGCCACCCCAAACACCUGCUUGGCCCAGAAAGUGGCACCAGGUGAGAGGUGCCCCGUGUCCCAUCCUUUCCGUGAACUGCGCCUGUACUCCCAGGACCAGCUUCCAGAACCACCCCACCCCAUGUCACUUCCAAUCUGGGAGCAGAAUCUAAGCACCCAUAGAAUGCAUAUUUAAAUUGGCGGCCCAGUGUCCUCAAGGCUCUGAGAGCUAGUGGAAAUACUGGCGAUACCCUUUUUUUGGUGCGGGGGAGGGACUUCUCUUGCGCCUUCCCUCUCAGAGCGCAGUCAAGGGUAAAGAGCACUUAAUAGCCAUGGGGCUGGGAAAGCAGCUGGCCCAGGCAGGCUUGGGUAAGCCACAGGUGGAGGAAGAGAGGGAGGGGCAGGGCUGGGUGUUCCUGGCCAGGUUUGACAGCUAAAUUCCCAGAGGCAAACUGUGCCGGUCAAGGCCCUUUUAUUCCCUUCUAAAUCUGGAUCUUGCUCCAAGCGUCUCUGCACACCCAGACACUAGGCUCUCUAGACUGUACACUUUCUAGACUGUCCGUGACCUAACUCAAGGGAAUGGCCUCCCUGUCCCAAUGCACAGGCACCGCUGCUAGGUGUGUGAGUUCUCAGUCCCCACCAUCCCUACCAGCAGCAACAAUGUUUUGGUUUGCUGAGCUGGCAUGGAACACAUACGUGAUAAAGACGGGGAGAGAGAGAGGGAACAGAAGAUGGGGCCCAGGCAAGCACAAGCCAUCUCAAAAAUCAUUCAGAAUCCUGGUAUUGACGUCAGACACAUUUUAUUAUAAUCUUAAUACAGUCUACAUAAAUUUGAACUGGUAUUUAUUUGGGUUCAGUUAUAACAUAGCAUCAUAAAAAAAAUCAAAGCACUGGUUGUCUGAAAUAAAGCAAGCGAUUGACAUUCAAUAAACACACUUGAUUUAUUUUUGUAUAAAAGGGUUAAGUUUACAACUAAACUUUUAUAAAAAGUUUAGCAUAAGUACGUCAUUACAUUUUUAUGCAGAAAUAGGUAUUUCUGCCACUAUACAAGAAAACUCUAAUUAGAGAGUUCACAAGGCUUCACUCAAUAUAUAUAUAUAUAUUUAUAUAUAAAUAUAUACACAGCAUUCAGUAGGCUCGCGUCAAAAAAGGCCAUUUCUGACCAAAGACUUCAUUUAAGUAACCGAAUACUGGGUCCUUCGGGUAGUCACGCUCCACCUUUGGAAAAAGGCAAAGUCUGCUUAGAUUGGGCAAUUCCUUGUGAUUUUUAACGUUUUUCGCUCCCCAUGGUGGGAAUAGUAUAUAAAGAAAACCUUCCAACUGUAGAAAGGGCAUUGAAAGUCUCUCAUAAAUAACGGUAUCACAGUCCAGGCUGGAGAGCUCCUGGGGAAGAUGAUCACUCUCAGUUUUCCUUCCGUCGCUCUUUUUAAAAAGGUCCAUUCAACUUGUUCUCCUGGUGAAAUGGUUGAAAAUAAACAAAAAAAGUUCAGCGACUUAAAAAGAUCCUGUAGACUUCUUGUUGUGCAAAAGAAAAAGAGAAAGUAAAAAAAAAAAAGUCCCCAGACGUCUGCAAAGACUGGGGGAGAAAA